rnacentral:snRNA from 1 species
GGAUGUGAGGGCAAUCUGGCUACAACAUCUGUCACCCCACUGAUCACCAGGGUUGGUUUGGCUGAUCUGGUUGGGAAGGCAGGUGUCCCCUUCCUCCCUCACCACUCAUGUGUGUCCCUCCUAAAGCAAUGCACUCUGUAUAAGAGGACAACGUUUCCGGUUUAGAGGAGGACCGUGCUUUGUUCAAGAGUAUACAAAUAGCUGCUCUCCCCUGCUAGAACCCCAAAACAAGCUCUCAGAAAGAAGACAGUAGGACAAAAUUUAAAGUGUGAAUAUUUCAGGAUGUGGGAUGUCGAGCUAACAACCAGCCACUCGAGCCACAAGGAGUCAGUCUUAAUUU